rnacentral:rRNA from 1 species
AUGCCUCCCUCCAAAGACGAGGGAAGCCUCGACGAUGACGAAUUCGUCGUGCCGGAGGAUCCCGCCAAACAAGAGCGCUUCAAGCGCCGGCUUGUAGCCACGGCAAAUAGCCUUAAGAAAAAGCAGCAGCAGCUUCAAGUUGAACAAGAUUUGCUAGCUGACAGAUGGACUGAAGUCCUUGCGGCCGAGGAAUAUGAACUCGAACGCCCCUCCAAGAGUUACCCAAAGCGCGGCUUGCUACCCCGACUGGAGGAGGAAGCAUUAAAACCUACAUCUCCAGCAUAUGACGCGGCUGAUUGGCCACCUCGUGGCCGCGACAGAGAGGCAUUUCAGCCAAAAACUCAGCCCGCACCCCGACGCCACUCAAAUAAAAAUGACAAGGCACGGGGAAACACGCUAGACCUGCAAGACGUAUUGGAGGACAAAGCAAAACACGCAAGAUCGAUCUACGGAUCACGAGGGCGCGCCACUACGCGAGACGAUAACCGUCACGCCGGAUACAGUAAAAGUAAAUCCGGCCAGGCCGAACACAGCGGACAAGACUCAUUCGAGCUGCGUCGCGACAUAACCCACUAUAGAGGUGCCGCACACCCCAUAUGCUUCACAGAUGAAGUAAUGGAUCACCAAAUCCCAGAGGGUUUCAAACCCGUAAAUAUCGAAUCAUACAACGACACAACAGAUCCCGCGGUAUGGAUCGAGGACUUCUUCCUGCACAUCCACAUGGCCCGCGGUGAUGAUUUACACGCCAUCAAAUACCUCCCACUCAAGCUCAAAGGAACAGCUCGGCAUUGGCUCAACAGCCUGCCAGCAGAAUCCAUUGGCUGUUGGGAAGAUCUGGAAGCCGCAUUCCUCGACAACUUCCAGGGCACUUAUGUGCGACCAUCAGAUGCCAAUGACUUGAGCCACAUAAUUCAACAGCCAGAGGAAUCGGCCAGGCAAUUCUGGACACGGUUCCUGACAAAGAAAAUUCAAAUCGUCGACUGUCCGGAUGCAGAGGCCCUAGCAGCUUUUAAGCACAACAUCCGCGACGAGUGGCUCGCCCGGCACCUUGGCCAGGAAAAACCGAAAUCUAUGGCAGCCCUCACGACACUCAUGACCCGCUUUUGCGCGGGAGAAGACAGCUGGCUGGCUCGCAGCAAUAACAUACCAAAGAGCCACGGUACUUCAGAUACCUAG